rnacentral:piRNA from 1 species
UGCCAUUAUUAAUUUGGUCUCUGUUUGC